rnacentral:rRNA from 1 species
GUCCACGCCCUAAACGAUGUCAACUAGUUGUUCGGAGAGGUAACUUUCUGAGUAACGCAGCUAACGCGUGAAGUUGACCGCCUGGGGAGUACGGCCGCAAGGUUAAACUCAAAGGAAUUGACGGGACCCGCACAAGCGGUGGAUGAUGUGGAUUAAUUCGAUGCAACGCGAAAACCUUACCUACCCUUGACAUGCCUGGAAUCCUUGAGAGAUCAGGGAGUGCCUUCGGGAGCCAGGACACAGGUGCUGCAUGGCUGUCGU